GACGUAGGGGGCAAGCGUUGCCCGGAUUCACUGGGCGUAAAGCGGGUGUAGGCGGUCUGUUAAGUCGGAUGUGAAAUCUCCGGGCUCAACCCGGAAACUGCAUCCGAUACUGGCAGACUUGAGGACGGUAGAGGCCGGUGGAAUUCCCGGUGUACCGGUGAAAUGGACAGAUAUCGGGAGGAACACCAGUGGCGAAGGCGGCCGGCUGGGCCGAUCCUGACGCUGAGACCCGAAAGCCAGGGUAGCGAACCGGAUUAGAAACCCUAGUAGUCC
rnacentral:rRNA from 1 species